CAAGACUUCAGAAUGUAUUAAUUAUAAAAUCUUUAAAGAUGCAAAAAUCCCUUUAUAUAUUUCGAUCUGUCAUGUAAUGUCAUUGCACGUCAGGUAAAUGGAAGUUAAGCUUCAUAAACGCAAAUCUCUGAGACUGACUGGUCAGGCGUCUCCAUUAAAGUAAAUCAAAGGUUGCAAAUGUUUCCUUAACAUCAUUCCAUCUAAAUCCCUGAUGGAAUUUUCAUUGUGAUCUGCUCCCCUUCCCGCCCCUUUUCCGACCAUGUUAUAUAUGGUUUCAAUCCAUACCAAAUGAAGGACGCAUUGAUUAGACUUGAUUUAAGGCAGCAAGUGAUAAAUGCAGCUGGAAAUUGAUUCAUGCCUCUCAAGUGACUGGGGCACAGCCAUCCACCGUUGACACAACUCUUGUCUCAAGGCUGGAAAAAACAAACAAGGAAACACCUGUCAAACAGAUAAAUGACUUUGCUGUUUGGAGCUUUCUGUGGAGGCCAUUUGUUUCCUAGAUAAGGAAGACUGCUCUCAAAAUUCAUGAGAAGAUAAGCUGGAGGAAGAGGAUGAAUGUGGAAUUGGCGGCUAAACACUUGGAAAAAACAAACAGAAAGGAUUCACCUCUGGGAAGAAUCUUGCUACGUGGAUCUGCUCUCCUUUCGCCUCAAAGGUGCUGGAAGUGGCGACUUGGCCCUGUCUCCGGGAUUCCAAGGGUUGGAGUGGAACGCUGCCGUCUUUUAUUUCCAGGGCGACAUUCCCCUACUGCUCUCCUUGGAGGGAGCAUCCAGGGGAAGACGCAGCAGGAACAGCUGAGGGACUUGAGAGCCCGGCUGACAGUCGUCUGGCCUGAAGUAUUGCGAGUUCAGCAGUUUGGCCACCAGCCCAGAAGCCCCCCGAAAACAAUACCCCUCUUGCAACCCAGGGCCUCUGGUGGAUUCUCGCCCACAGUACAUAAAUAUUUCCUGUAUUUAUGUCUCCUGGACAUGCUCUCUGCGUUCCCACCUCGACAUGUCUGUCUGCUCAUGCACUCCUUUCUCUUAUCCUAUUCGUUAGCACAGGUUUACUUUUCACCUGUCCUUCAAGGCCCCAUUCAGAUGAUGCCUCCUCCAGAAGGUCCCCCUGCAUUCUUCCUGGCUGGAAAUAAUGUCCCUCCUCUGAACUCCUACUGAAUCAGGGCCAGGUCCUGCUGGAAGAGCCUUGAAUCCAAGGAAAGCCAAAGGGAUUGGAGAGGGGAAGAGAGAUUCCUAUCAGGCUGUCCCCAAGAGCGGUGGGUUCCAGAGCUCUGUAUUCAGACUUCUGUAAAAUUAGAAUAAAACAAGAAAACCAGGCGGGGUGCAGAGGGCUGCUGACAUGAG
rnacentral:lncRNA from 1 species